rnacentral:lncRNA from 1 species
AUGGUCCUGAAUAGGAGGGAAAAGAUCUUUCAGGGAGAAUUUUUUGAAAUUCGCUUUGCUUGAAGAAUAAAGUACGAUAGCCCUCUCUGCGUACUUAAUAGUUCCAGCAACCAAACUUGGAGUGGCAGUAAAUGUAAGCAUAUCGGUUCUCCAGAAUCGUAGAUACACAAUAAUGGCCCCAAGACCUUGAGUAAUAAGCGAAGGAAAUUGUUUCAGCCAGAGCUCAUUGUCUUCUAAAGCGUAACGUCACAGGACGAGAGGUUUUGAGCCCGUGCGGCACUCCGCAUCCCAUACUACGAGAGUAAGUGGCACAAUAUCGCUGAUUUCCUACUGCCUUGGGCUCAUCAGGAGAACGGCUCUUGUUCUCAACUAGUGUGUUUAGGGUUUCGCCUAGACCCCUCUUCAAUAUUAAGUCCUUGACUAGCGACAAGCUCCCCAAACUCAACCGGGUUGGCUUGAACUCCAAGGACUAUAGGACCAUUGUGUUCCCCACACGCUCGCCCCUGAAGCACGUCUCCAAUAAUCAGCACAAUCAUUAUCAAUACUAGCAUUCAAGCACAUAUCUUAGGUGUCACAAUUGGGGCCCGUGACAGUAAGCUGUGAUAGUAUCCGGGCCACCGAGGUGAAAAUUCAAAUAUGUACACAAAUAUGUAUGUUAACACUUAUAGGGUUGAGGACCAAAAUUCAACAAUUAGACCAUCUAUUACGAAGCUAAGGCACUAGGAUUACCCUAUGAAAGGUCAGUAUUAACCUUGACCAAACCAAUCUCAGGCGGACGCCAGUUUAAAACCAGAACUCUUGGAGCUCUCGCUAAAGAAAAAGGUAAC